CCCCCCCCCCCGUCGCCAUGUUUCCUGAACACAAAAUGGCGACACGUGGCCUGGAUUCGUCGCUCAGGAGAAAUUGGGGUCGCCCGAAAGCUCUAGAACGCGCCGUCUCCUGUUCACUGGGACUUCCCUGCGACGGGAGUCCUUAAGAUCCCUCCUGUAGGCUGGUCCGAAACGUGGCGGAAGAAGUUUAAUCCUCCCUCCUUUAAUUUGAAAGGAGAAUGUGAAUAAUAGUAAAAUAGGAAGACACUUAAGCCCAGAGAAAUGAAGUGAGCCAUUCAAAGUCAUACGUUGUCGGGGAUGGAAUCCAGACCUUCUGAUUUCUUUACUGAUCUGGAUUAACUUUUGAAUUCCACAUUACCCAUUUUAUGGAUGAAGCUCCUGAGAUAUGGAACAAUGGAUUGAAUAGUCACCGCCCCAACCCUGGAAUCUCACAUAGGACUCUUCUCACUCAAAUGACCACAGACACUGAAGAUUGUUUUUAUGUUGGAACUUUCAUUGCCCAGAAUGCAAGUUCAUAAAGGAGUGUCAAGUUUCAGCUGGAGGGAAGGUGGCCAGGACAGUUUUUCAGGGAAAUCUGACAGACACAUGAUGCUUUGAGUGAGUUUGUGUGUACAUAUUUUUUCUUUGGAGUAAAGCAUGGAAAAAGAGCUGAGUCCCACAUCUGGGACUGCUUAGAGCAGAGAGAAGAGACCAGCCUCAGGAGCUCGGUUGCCCUGACCCUACAGAAUGUAAGUCCCAUGCUGCUGGAGACCAUCUUGCCACCCUAAGGAGAAUACUGCCCAAGAAUGAAGGCAACACAGAUGACAGCUGAGCUGUGAGAUAGAGAAAACUGGAGAUCAGAUGGUGUCUUGAGUACCUGGAUGUAACCACGUGUUAAACUGGUGGAAUCCUGGACGCUUAUUUUGCGUGGACCUAGACUUUCCCUUUUUUUACCCCUUAUAGAAGUUUGAUUUGAAUCGUCACCUGCUGCCAGAAGUGUCUUAAUUAAUCCAUGUCAUAAAUGGUAUAUCAUUCUCUUACAGAGAAUAUGGCUGGUCACUCCAAACAUCAGCGGAAGUUGGGCAUCUCGGAGAAUAUCUGCCUUCCAGUUCCCAUCGUAUCUCCCAGUCUUUGAGCAAGGUAAGGAGUCCAUGGAAUUACCUGCUUUAGGAACAACUAAGGGCUGGGGGUCAAUCCAAGACUAAAUCUCUGUCAAGAUCCACAAAGGAAGACUUCCUACCUGAAUUCAAUUUGUGUUGACUCCUUUCCACCCACCCCAUGGAUAGAACCAUAAAGAGACAUCAACUUGACCACAGUAA